CAGUCGCCACGGGAAUACGUAGGUGGCAAGCGUUGUCCGGAAUUAUUGGGCGUAAAGGGCUCGCAGGCGGUUUCUUAAGUCUGAUGUGAAAGCCCCCGGCUCAACCGGGGAGGGUCAUUGGAAACUGGGAAACUUGAGUGCAGAAGAGGAGAGUGGAAUUCCACGUGUAGCGGUGAAAUGCGUAGAGAUGUGGAGGAACACCAGUGGCGAAGGCGACUCUCUGGUCUAUAACUGACGCUGAGGAGCGAAAGCGUGGGGAGCGAACAGGAUUAGAGACCCCGGUAGUCCCUGUCUCUUAUAC
rnacentral:rRNA from 1 species